GACAGAGGUGCCGAGCGUUAGGCGGAAUCACUGGGCUUAAAGCGUGUGUAGGCGGGUCGUUAAGUACCUUGUGAAAUCCCACGGCUCAACCGUGGAACUGCUGGGUAUACUGGCGGUCUUGGGCCACUCAGGGGGUUGCCGGAACAAACGGUGGAGCGGUGAAAUGCGUAGAUAUCGUUUGGAACGCCGAAGGUGAAGACAGGCAACUGGGAGUGCGCCGACGCUGAGACGCGAAAGCCAGGGAGCGGAACGGG
rnacentral:rRNA from 1 species